rnacentral:ncRNA from 1 species
GUCAGUUUCGACUGACUCUUCCCGAGAAGGGUGUCUGCCCUUUCAACUAGAAUGGUUAAUCUAUUGGACUACCAUGGUUGUUACGGGUAAACGGAGAAUUAGGGUUCGACUCCGGAGAGGGAGCCUUAGAAACGGCUACCACGUCCAAGGAAGGCAGCAGGCGCGAAACUUAUCCACUGUUGAGUAUGAGAUAGUGACUAAAAAUAUAAAGACUCAUCCUUUUGGAUGAGUUAUUUCAAUGAGUUGAAUAUAAAUUAUUCUUCGAGUAGCAAGGAGAGGGCAAGUCUGGUGCCAGCAGCCGCGGUAAUUCCAGCUCUCCUAGUGUAUCUCGUUAUUGCUGCGGUUAAAAAGCUCGUAGUUGGAUCUAGGUUACGUGCCGCAGUUCGCAAUUUGCGUUAACUGUGGUCGUGACUUCUAAUUUGCUGGUUUGAGGUUGGGUUCGCCCUUCAACUGCCAGCAGGUUUACCUUGAAUAAAUCAGAGUGCUCAAUACAGGCGCUUGCUUGAAUAGCUCAUCAUGGAAUAAUGAAACAGGACUUCGGUUCUUUUUGUUGGUUCUAGAAUUGAUCUAAUGGUUAAGAGGGACAAACCGGGGGCAUUCGAUCAUUACGCGAGAGGUGAAAUUCGUGGACCGUAGUGAGACGCCCAAUAGCGAAAGCAUUUGCCAAGAAUGUCUUCAUUAAUCAAGAACGAAAGUCAGAGGUUCGAAGGCGAUUAGAUACCGCCCUAGUUCUGACCGUAAACGAUGCCAUCUCGCGAUUCGGAGGGUUCAUGCCCUACCGAGGAGCUACCCGGAAACGAAAGUCUUUCGGUUCCGGGGGUAGUAUGGUUGCAAAGCUGAAACUUAAAGAAAUUGACGGAAGGGCACCACAAGGCGUGGAGCUUGCGGCUUAAUUUGACUCAACACGGGAAAACUCACCCGGUCCGGACACUAUUAGGACUGACAGAUUGAAAGCUCUUUCUCGAUUUGGUGGUUGGUGGUGCAUGGCCGUUCUUAGUUGGUGGAGUGAUUUGUCUGGUUUAUUCCGAUAACGAGCGAGACUCUAGCCUGCUAAAUAGUCGACGAAUCUUCGGGUUCGUAUAACUUCUUAGAGGGAUAAGCGGUGUUUAGCCGCACGAGAUUGAGC